UUGUGAGGACAAUGGGUAAAGUAAGGAA
rnacentral:piRNA from 1 species